rnacentral:rRNA from 1 species
UAGCUAGUUGGUAGGGUAAGAGCCUACCAAGGCGACGAUCGGUAGCUGGUCUGAGAGGAUGGCCAGCCACACUGGAACUGAGACACGGUCCAGACUCCUACGGGAGGCAGCAGUGGGGAAUAUUGGACAAUGGGGGCAACCCUGAUCCAGCAAUGCCGCGUGUGUGAAGAAGGCCUGAGGGUUGUAAAGCACUUUCAGUGGGGAGGAGAGUUGAUAGGUUAAGAGCUAAUUAACUGGACGUUACCCACAGAAGAAGCACCGGCUAACUCCGUGCCAGCAGCCGCGGUAAUACGGAGGGUGCGAGCGUUAAUCGGAAUUACUGGGCGUAAAGGGUGCGUAGGUGGUUGUAUAAGUUAUCUGUGAAAUCCCUGGGCUUAACCUGGGCAGGUCAGAUAAUACUGUAUGACUCGAGUAUGGGAGAGGGUAGUGGAAUUUCCGGUGUAGCGGUGAAAUGCGUAGAGAUCGGAAGGAACACCAGUGGCGAAGGCGGCUACCUGGCCCAAUACUGACACUGAGGCACGAAAGCGUGGGGAGCAAACAGGAUUAGAUACCCUGGUAGUCCACGCUGUAAACGAUGUCAACUAGCUGUUGGUUAUAUGAAUAUAAUUAGUGGCGC